GCAAACUUGGUCAUUUAGAGGAAGUAAAAGUCGUAACAAGGUUUCCGUAGGUGAACCUGCGGAAGGAUCAUUAACAAGUCCGUGUGACACGUGUCCGCUGCGUGCUCGUGACAUUACGUUGCGUGUGCGCAGCAGCAAGUUUGAUUGUGACUGAUCAACGCUUGAAAGAAUGAACAACUUUUAACAAUGGAUCUCUAGGCUCUUCAGAUGUGUAUAAGAGACAGGCAAACUUGGUCAUUUAGAGGAAGUAAAAGUCGUAACAAGGUUUCCGUAGGUGAACCUGCGGAAGGAUCAUUAACAAGUCCGUGUGACACGUGUCCGCUGCGUGCUCGUGACAUUACGUUGCGUGUGCGCAGCAGCAAAUUUGAUUGUGACUGAUCAACGCUUGAAAGAAUGAACAACUUUUAACAAUGGAUCUCUAGGCUCUUGCAUCGAUGAAGAACGCAGC
rnacentral:misc_RNA from 1 species